ACCAGACUCCUACGGGAGGCAGCAGUGGGGGAUAUUGCACAAUGGGGGAAACCCUGAUGCAGCGACGCCGCGUGGGCGAAGAAGUAUUUCGGUAUGUAAAGCCCUCUCAGCAGGGAAGAAGGAGGACGGUACCUGACUAAGAAGCCCCGGCUAACUACGUGCCAGCAGCCGCGGUAAUACGUAGGGGGCAAGCGUUAUCCGGAUUUACUGGGUGUAAAGGGGGCGCAGACGGCAGCGCAAGCCAGGAGUGAAAGCCCGGGGCCCAACCCCGGGACUGCUCUUGGAACUGCGCGGCUGGAGUGCAGGAGGGGCAGGCGGAAUUCCUGGUGUAGCGGUGAAAUGCGUAGAUAUCAGGAGGAACACCGGUGGCGAAGGCGGCCUGCUGGACUGCGACUGACGUUGAGGCCCGAAAGCGUGGGGAGCAAACAGGAUUAGAUACCCCGGUAC
rnacentral:rRNA from 1 species